AGACGACGCUGGCGGCGCGUUUUAAGCAUGCAAGUCGAGCGGCAAGGGCCUUCGGGCCCCUAGAGCGGCGACGGGUGAGUAACACGUGGACAAUCUGCCCCCCGGCCGGGAUAGCCCAGGGAAACCUGGAUUAAUACCGGAUGAGACGGGACCCGCGAUGGCGGGACCCGGGAAAGGCGCUGCGGCGCCGCCGGGGGAUGAGUCUGCGUCCCAUUAGCUAGACGCGGGUAACGGCCCACCGUGGCGACGAUGGGUAGCCGGCCUGAGAGGGUGGACGGCCACAUUGGAACUGAGAUACGGCCCAGACUCCUACGGGAGGCAGCAGUGGGGAAUAUUGGGCAAUGGGGCGAAAGCCUGACCCAGCAACGCCGCGUGAAGGAAGAAGGCCUUCGGGUUGUAAACUUCUUUUAACAGGGACGAAGAAGUGACGGUACCUGUUGAAUAAGCCACGGCUAACUACGUGCCAGCAGCCGC
rnacentral:rRNA from 1 species